AGGGCGGGACACGUGAUAUCCUGUCUGAAUAUGGGGGGACCAUCCUCCAAGGCUAAAUACUCCUGACUGACCGAUAGUGAACCAGUACCGUGAGGGAAAGGCGAAAAGAACCCCGGCGAGGGGAGUGAAAAAGAACCUGAAACCGUGUACGUACAAGCAGUGGGAGCACCCUUCGGGGUGUGACUGCGUACCUUUUGUAUAAUGGGUCAGCGACUUAUAUUCUGUAGCAAGGUUAACCGAAUAGGGGAGCCGGAGGGAAACCGAGUCUUAACCGGGCGUUAAGUUGCAGGGUAUAGACCCGAAACCCGGUGAUCUAGCCAUGGGCAGGUUGAAGGUUGGGUAACACUAACUGGAGGACCGAACCGACUAAUGUUGAAAAAUUAGCGGAUGACCUGUGGCUGGGGGUGAAAGGCCAAUCAAACCGGGAGAUAGCUGGUUCUCCCCGAAAGCUAUUUAGGUAGCGCCUCGUGAAUUCAUCUCCGGGGGUAGAGCACUGUUUCGGCUAGGGGGCCAUCCCGGCUUACCAACCCGAUGCAAACUGCGAAUACCGGAGAAUGUUAUCACGGGAGACACACGGCGGGUGCUAACGUCCGUCGUGAAGAGGGAAACAACCCAGACCGCCAGCUAAGGUCCCAAAGUCAUGGUUAAGUGGGAAACGAUGUGGGAAGGCCCAGACAGCCAGGAUGUUGGCUUAGAAGCAGCCAUCAUUUAAAGAAAGCGUAAUAGCUCACUGGUCGAGUCGGCCUGCGCGGAAGAUGUAACGGGGCUAAACCAU
rnacentral:rRNA from 1 species